CAUACAAGAGAGAAUGCCGGCAUAAGUAGCGCAAGCGGAGCGAGAAACUCCGCCAUCGAAAGUCAAAGGUUUCCUGGGGAAGGUUCGUCCGCCCAGGGUAAGUCGGGAGCUAAGUUGAGGCCGAAAGGCGUAGAUGAUGCACAACCGGUAGAUAUUCCGGUACCACCGAAGUUAUAUGUGAAGCAGGGACACAGGAGGAUAGCCGAACCGCGCUGAUGGUAGAGUGCGGGCAAGCGUUGAGGCUGAUUGCAAGUGAAGUACUUGCAGUCAAGGCCGGGGCGCGAUGCAGACUGAAAAUAAGUAAGGAAAUCGGUGAAUUCACGCUGGCGAGAAAAGCUGCUAAGUUACACUAAGGUGCCCGUACCGCAAACCGACACAGGUAGACGAGGAGAAAAUCCUAAGAUGAACGGGAUAACUCUUGUUAAGGAACUCUGCAAAAUGACCCCGUAACUUAGGGAGAAGGGGAGCCACGCGAGUGGCCGCAGUGAAGAGGCUCAAGCGACUGUUUAUCAAAAACACAGGUCUCUGCGAAAUCGAAAGAUGAAGUAUAGGGGCUGACGCCUGCCCAGUGCUGGAAGGUUAAGGGGAAGUGUUAGGAAACGAAGCACCGAACUUAAGCCCCAGUGAACGGCGGCCGUAACUAUAACGGUCCUAAGGUAGCGAAAUUCCUUGUCAGGUAAGUUCUGACCCGCACGAAUGGCGUAACGACUUGAGCGCUGUCUCAACAGGAGGCCCGGCGAAAUUGUAGUAUACGUGAAGAUGCGUAUUACCCGCGACUGGACGGAAAGACCCCGUAGAGCUUUACUGUAAUUUGAUAUUGAAUUUCGGCAAUUGAUGUACAGGAUAGGUGGGAGACUUUGAGUCGUGUGCGCCAGCACACGAGGAGUCGCCGUUGGGAUACCACCCUUCAAUUGCUGGGAUUCUAACGACUAAGCCGUAAACCGGCAGUCGGACAGUGUCAGAUGGACAGUUUGACUGGGGCGGUCGCCUCCCAAAGAGUAACGGAGGCGUUCAAAGGUUCCCUCAGGAUGGUUGGAAACCAUCCAAAGAGCGUAAAGGUAGAAGGGAGCUUGACUGCGAGACUUACAAGUCGAGCAGGUACGAAAGUAGGACUUAGUGAUCCGGCGGUAGAGUAUGGAAUUGCCGUCGCUUAACGGAUAAAAGUUACCUCGGGGAUAACAGGCUUAUCUCCCCCAAGAGUUCACAUCGACGGGGAGGUUUGGCACCUCGAUGUCGGCUCGUCACAUCCUGGGGCUGUAGUCGGUCCCAAGGGUUCGGCUGUUCGCCGAUUAAAGUGGCACGCGAGCUGGGUUCAGAACGUCGUGAGACAGUUCGGUCCCUAUCCAUCGUGGGCGUAGGAUAUUUGAGAGGAUUUGUCCCUAGUACGAGAGGACCAGGAUGAACGCACCUAUUGUGCAUCGGUUGUCGCGCCAGCGGCA
rnacentral:rRNA from 1 species